rnacentral:misc_RNA from 1 species
GAUGAAGAACGUAGCGAAAUGCGAUAAGUAAUGUGAAUUGCAGAAUUCAGUGAAUCAUCGAAUCUUUGAACGCACAUUGCGCCCAUUAGCAUUCUAGUGGGCAUGCCUGUUCGAGCGUCAUUUCAACCCUUAAGCCCUGUUGCUUAGCGUUGGGAGCCUACAGUACUGUAGCUCCCCAAAGUUAGUGGCGGAGUCGGUUUCACACUCUAGACGUAGUAAUUUUUUCUCGUCUGUAGUUGAGCCGGUGCCCUGCCGUAAAACACCCAAUUUAUCAAGGUUGACCUCGGAUCAGGUAGGAAUACCCGCUGAACUUAAGCAUAUCAAUAAGCGGAGGA